GGUCAUUUAGAGGAAGUAAAAGUCGUAACAAGGUCUCCGUUGGUGAACCAGCGGAGGGAUCAUUACCGAGUUUUCAACUCCCAAACCCUUUUGUGAACAUACCUAUCGUUGCUUCGGCGGACUCGCCCCAGCGUCCGGCCGGCCCCGCGCCGGCCGCGGCCUGGAUCCAGGCGGCCGCCGGAGACCCCCAAACUCUGUAUUCUCAGUAUCUUCUGAAUCCGCCGCAAGGCAAAACAAAUGAAUCAAAACUUUCAACAACGGAUCUCUUGGUUCUGGCAUCGAUGAAGAACGCAGCGAAAUGCGAUAAGUAAUGUGAAUUGCAGAAUUCAGUGAAUCAUCGAAUCUUUGAACGCACAUUGCGCCCGCCAGCAUUCUGGCGGGCAUGCCUGUUCGAGCGUCAUUUCAACCCUCGACUUCCCUUUGGGGAAAUCGGCGUUGGGGACCGGCCGUAUACCGCCGGCCCCGAAAUGAAGUGGCGGCCCGUCCGCGGCGACCUCUGCGUAGUAAUCCAACUCGCACCGGAACCCCGACGUGGCCACGCCGUAAAACCCCCGACUUCUGAACGUUGACCUCGGAUCAGGUAGGAAUACCCGCUGAACUUAAGCAUAUCAAUAAGCGGAGGAA
rnacentral:rRNA from 1 species